AUUGAACGCUGGCGGCAUGCCUUACACAUGCAAGUCGAACGGUAACAGGUCAAGCUGACGAGUGGCGAACGGGUGAGUAAUAUAUCGGAACGUGCCCAGUCGUGGGGGAUAACGCAGCGAAAGUUGUGCUAAUACCGCAUACGAUCUACGGAUGAAAGCGGGGGAUCGCAAGACCUCGCGCGAUUGGAGCGGCCCGAUAUCAGAUUAGCUAGUUGGUGGGGUAAAAGCCCACCAAGGCGACGAUCUGUAGCUGGUCUGAGAGGACGACCAGCCACACUGGAACUGAGACACGGUCCAGACUCCUACGGGAGGCAGCAGUGGGGAAUUUUGGACAAUGGGCGCAAGCCUGAUCCAGCAAUGCCGCGUGCAGGAUGAAGGCCUUCGGGUUGUAAACUGCUUUUGUACGGAGCGAAACGGCUUUCCCUAAUACGGAAGGCUAAUGACGGUACCGUAAGAAUAAGCACCGGCUAACUACGUGCCAGCAGCCGCGGUAAUACGUAGGGUGCGAGCGUUAAUCGGAAUUACUGGGCGUAAAGCGUGCGCAGGCGGUUAUAUAAGACAGAUGUGAAAUCCCCGGGCUCAACCUGGGACCUGCAUUUGUGACUGUAUAGCUGGAGUACGGUAGAGGGGGAUGGAAUUCCGCGUGUAGCAGUGAAAUGCGUAGAUAUGCGGAGGAACACCGAUGGCGAAGGCAAUCCCCUGGACCUGUAC
rnacentral:rRNA from 1 species